UACGUAGGGAGCAAGCGUUGUCCGGAAUCAUUGGGCGUAAAGCGCGCGUAGGCGGCCCGAUAAGUCCGCUGUGAAAGUCAACGGCUCAACUGUUGGAUGCCGGUGGAUACUGUCGGGCUAGAGUACGGAAGAGGCGAGUGGAAUUCCUGGUGUAGCGGUGGAAUGCGCAGAUAUCAGGAGGAACACCAAUAGCGAAGGCAGCUCGCUGGGACGUUACUGACACUGAGGCGCGAAAGCGUGGGGAGCGAACAGG
rnacentral:rRNA from 1 species